ACCCCUAACUUUAUCAUUCUUCUUCUUUCCUCUUGUACACGGGGCCUUGCACACGUCGAACACCGUGAAACAUCGACGGAGACGCUCCACCAUUAAAUCCAUGUUUGGCAAACAUCGAGCUUCGAUGAUUUUCAAAUUAAGGUCGCCAUGCAAAAAUACAACAGGAUCCGAAACAUCUUCCCCCAUUGAAUCAAAUCGAGAAAUAAAGAAAAAAUAUUCAAAGACGCUUAAUGAGAAAAAUGAAGAUGAUAAAUAGCAAUGUAAAAGGUAGGCAAGGUAGGUUACAGUAGCUUGAAAAUAAAAUUGUUUUUGUUUUUAGUAAUUAAUUAGUGUUCAUAUUGGUGUUGGCAAUAACCGGAGAACAACAAAGUCACUGCCGUGUAGGGACGUUGUUUUCAAAACAGCAGAAUCCCAGUUUGUUUUCUCUGACUAAAGCCAACGGCCAAAACCGAAGGCUGUAAUAGGGAGCGGAAUUCCAGAAGUCGAUUGGGUUUAAUGUAGAGGCUGUACAAUACAACAACAUCAAGUUUCAAGUAUGGGAUUUAGCUCAACUACCCGGAACAACUCAAGAUUACUUGCAAAUAUUUAACAUAGAGAUGAAAGCAAAAAUGAAGUCACAUCAGAUGCCUGAACAGGUUGUAUUUUGGAAAUGGAUUUCCCCAAAAAUGCUUGGCCUAGUCACACAAACUUCUGUGUAUCAUUGGUCAAUUGAAGGCAUUCUGUUGUGCAAGUAGAUCAUUCUUCUCUUAUGUAGAAGCCAUUCAUUAGUAUAUUUCAAGGCUGCCAGAUUCAUUCCAGAUAAAGUUUUCAUGAAGCAAAUUCUUAGAUCUACCCAUAAAUAGAGUAUAUAUGUCCACAUUUUGUUCAUGGUUCACAACUUGCUUAGUAUUUCAGUUUGUGGGACAAUCUUUGUUACUCCCGUAGAAAAGUUUGGGUGUUUAAUGAUUUUACAGAUGCUAUGUAUAACGAAGAUUUUAUAGCCUUCUUGACGGGGUGUACAUGUUUAUACCUUCGCUUUCACUGUUCUAAUCUUGGAGACAGAAUGCAUUUUUCUCAUUUUUUCUCUCUUGAUUUUUGCUUUUAUUAGAUGCUGAAGUGAACCAUCUUUUGGAAUCUGUGGUUGUCUUAGGUACUGGUCCUUUUGAAAUUUAGUACAGUGCUUUAUUUUGUUACAGCUGAGGUUGUGGCAGGAUCAACAGCAUGGUUGGGUUGAGGUCUUUCUUGUGUAUGUGCUCAGAGCAGAGAGAGUGAUGCUCGUCCAUCAUUUGAUUUAACUCCUUCCCAGAAAAUGAAUUUUAACGCGAUGGAGAAAGAGGAAUUUGGAUUCUCAAGAAACUAUUUCUGAGCAAAAGAAAUGGGCAGUUCUGGGAAGAAAUCUGCUCGUAAACUCAGUGAUGUCAACGUCGUUGACGAACAGGAACUUAGAGAAGCUUCAGCUAAUAUUGAACCAAAGCAUCAAAACGACGUUGCAGAUUUAAUAAAUAGUUACAAAAGUUUAUACCCAGAAUGGGUUUUUGAUCUCAGGCACUUAGAUUAAGGUCGAAUGAGCUAAAAUUGGUGAGGCAAUUGGAGAACACAGAGGCUGAAAUUUCUUCUUUCAAGUAUGAUGUAAUUUUUCUUUACCAAAGGGCUUGUGAUCUACAUUUUCAGGAUUAGUUGAUUACUUUUUUUGGUAUUACUCCUGAAAAAGUGAUUGCCAAAAACUGCUGUUUCUGGAUUUGUGUAUUUUCUUUUUUUUUUUUUCUUGUGGUUACUGCUGCCCCUGUUUUUGGGAGGUGAUUGUGUAAACAUUUUAGUGUGCUUUAGUUAUUGUAAGAAUAUUUUUAACAUUGUUAAUUUUAAUAUUAUUGUAAGAAUAUUUUGACUUAUAAUUCAAUUAUCAAUUUAUAUCA